UACAGAGGGUGCGAGCGUUAAUCGGAAUUACUGGGCGUAAAGCGCACGUAGGUGGCGACGUAAGUCGGGUGUGAAAGCCCCGGGCUCAACCUGGGAAUUGCAUUCGAGACUGCAUUGCUGGAGUACGGAAGAGGAGGGCGGAAUUCCCGGUGUAGCGGUGAAAUGCGUAGAUAUCGGGAGGAACAUCAGUGGCGAAGGCGGCCCUCUGGUCCAGUACCGACGUUCAGGCACGAAAGCGUGGGGAGCAAACAGG
rnacentral:rRNA from 1 species